CAUUGCAGAACGUAGAGGAAGUGAUCUCAGAUCACUUCCUCCAAGCACUUGUGAAUGGGAAUCCACACUUUAGUAGAGCAGCCUGCAGCUGCUGUUGCACCUCCUGUACCUGGCCAGCCUGGAACCCGGAAAAGCCACCCACACGGCUAGAUAUACACAGAAAUGCACAAUAACCCUCCCCUCAUACAAAUAAUACGAACAGCCCACAAACAAACAUACACACAAUCAGCACAAACAUAACCCGCUAACA